GGAACGGGGCUUCCUUUGUGUGCCGGACUGGGAGGCCCGUUUGCACAAACAUCCUGCAAUAAACUUACCUCUUGUUUUUACAUCAGCUGGACUGGACAUUGAGUUUUUUGGGGGAAACUGUCCAAUUUGUGGAGGCUCCUCGCUCUGAGGGUCUUUCAAGCAGAACAGAGACCACACGGAGGGAUAGACCAGGCCGAAGCAAUGGAGAAGACUCCCUUGGUAAGUCAGAGAGAGCAACCCUGCCUAUAACUUGAUCUUGAACUUCUGCUUCUAGUCCUGUGAGGAAAUGAGUCCCCACUGUUUAAGUCACAUGGCCUGGGAUAUUUUAUAAUGAUCAUCCUGUCAAACUAAUGAACAUGGGACCAAAACUCAGAGUCACAGAGCUGCUUGGGCCUGCUGUCUGUGGCCCCAGGAGCGGUUCCCUGCUGUUCUCAACUCAGCAGUCCAUCUCUUCCUCACAUCAAUGUCUCUUAGCAACCCAUUUGUGGCCCAGGUCAGGAAUCCUUCUUCAUUUGGGAUGGAGGGAGCAUCAUGAAGCCAGAAAUGUGAACUAAGGAAGACACGUGGUACACCUCUACUUCAGACAGUUAAACACAUUAACAGAAUUCCUAGGGAAACAUCCAAAAGGACAGGAACGAAAGGGUUGAACUUACGCAGCACAUGAGGCCUGUGGAACACAUUGAUGUGCUUAAUCGUCGUGAUCACCCCAGAAAGACCAUAUGACUGCUCGAGCCUCACGGGGAAGAAACAAGGAACCUUGAUCGAGAUUCUGCCUGUACACACAACAACCAGAAAAACUCACACCGGUUGGAACAAGGUCUCCAGAACCUAAACAGAGGAACAGCAGUUGGAAGGCUAGUGAACUAGCCCAGGUGCCAACCACUGCCUACUGCAGGGGACACUGACUUGGAGUUUGUGUUAAAGCCUUUAAGAAAUGUCUGAAGGGGGGGGGGGGCUGGAGAGAUGGCUCAGAGGUUAAGCGCACUGACCAGAGGUCCUGAGCUCAAUUCCCAGCAACCAUAUGGUGGUUCACAACCAUCUCUAAUGAGAUUUGGUGCUCUCUUCUGGCAUGCAUACCUACAUGUCAGAGCACUGUAUACAUGAUAAAUAAAAAGAAUCUUUAAAAAAAAAGUAGUAGUAGAAACAUCUGAG
rnacentral:lncRNA from 1 species